UACGAAGGGGGCUAGCGUUGUUCGGAAUCACUGGGCGUAAAGCGCACGUAGGCGGUCUUUUAAGUCGGGGGUGAAAUCCUGGAGCUCAACUCCAGAACUGCCUUCGAUACUGGAAGACUUGAGUCCGGGAGAGGUGAGUGGAACUGCGAGUGUAGAGGUGAAAUUCGUAGAUAUUCGCAAGAACACCAGUGGCGAAGGCGGCUCACUGGCCCGGUACUGACGCUGAGGUGCGAAAGCGUGGGGAGCAAACAGG
rnacentral:rRNA from 1 species